CCCUUAGAUGUCCUGGGCCGCACGCGCGUUACACUGAUGCAUUCAACGAGCUUAUAACCUUGGCCGAGAGGCCUGGGCAAUCUUUUUAACGUGCAUCGUGAUAGGGAUAGAUUAUUGAAAUUAUUAAUCUUGAACGAGGAAUUCCUAGUAAACGCAGAUCAUCAAUCUGCAUUGAUUACGUCCCUGCCCUUUGUACACACCGCCCGUCGCACCUACCGCUUGGAUGGUCCGGUGAAGCCUCGGGAUUGUGGUUCUUGCCGCUUUAUUGUGGCGUGACCGCGAGAACUUGUCUAAACCUUAUCAUCUAGAGGAAGGUGAAGUCGUAACA
rnacentral:rRNA from 1 species